rnacentral:rRNA from 1 species
AGUGAACGCUGGCGGUAGGCCUAACACAUGCAAGUCGAACGGCAGCACAGUAAGAGCUUGCUCUUACGGGUGGCGAGUGGCGGACGGGUGAGGAAUACAUCGGAAUCUACUUUUUCGUGGGGGAUAACGUAGGGAAACUUACGCUAAUACCGCAUACGACCUACGGGUGAAAGCAGGGGAUCUUCGCACCUUGCGCGAUUGAAUGAGCCGAUGUCGGAUUAGCUAGUUGGCGGGGUAAAGGCCCACCAAGGCGACGAUCCGUAGCUGGUGUGAGAGGAUGAUCGGCCACAUUGGAACUGGGACACGGUCCAGACUCCUACGGGAGGCAGCAGUGGGGAAUAUUGGACAAUGGGCGCAAGCCUGAUCCAGCCAUACCGCGUGGGUGAAGAAGGCCUUCGGGUUGUAAAGCCCUUUUGUUGGGAAAGAAAAGCAGCAGGUUAAUACCCCGCUGUUCUGACGGUACCCAAAGAAUAAGCACCGGCUAACUUCGUG